UGGGGAAUUUUGGACAAUGGGCGAAAGCCUGAUCCAGCAAUGCCGCGUGUGUGAAGAAGGCCUUCGGGUUGUAAAGCACUUUUGUCCGGAAAGAAAUCCUUGGCUCUAAUACAGUCGGGGGAUGACGGUACCGGAAGAAUAAGCACCGGCUAACUACGUGCCAGCAGCCGCGGUAAUACGUAGGGUGCAAGCGUUAAUCGGAAUUACUGGGCGUAAAGCGUGCGCAGGCGGUUUGCUAAGACCGAUGUGAAAUCCCCGGGCUCAACCUGGGAACUGCAUUGGUGACUGGCAGGCUAGAGUAUGGCAGAGGGGGGUAGAAUUCCACGUGUAGCAGUGAAAUGCGUAGAGAUGUGGAGGAAUACCGAUGGCGAAGGCAGCCCCCUGGGCCAAUACUGACGCUCAUGCACGAAAAGCGUGGGGGAGCAAAACAGGAUUAGAUACCCUGGUAGUCCACGCCCUAAAACGAUGUCAACUAGUUGUUGGGGAUUCAUUUCCUUAGUAACGUAGCUAACGCGUGAAGUUGACCGCCUGGGGAGUACGGUCGCAAGAUUAAAACUUAAAGGAAUUGACGGGGUCAUAGCUGUUUCCU
rnacentral:rRNA from 1 species